rnacentral:rRNA from 1 species
AGCAGCCGCGGUAAUUCCAGCUCCAAUAGCGUAUAUUAAAGUUGUUGCAGUUAAAAAGCUCGUAGUUGAAUUUCGGGGUUAGUAGGUUGGUCAUGCCUCUGGUAUGUACUGGCCUCACUGAUUCCUCCUUCCUGAUGAACCGUAAUGCCAUUAAUUUGGUGUUGCGGGGAGACUGGACUGUUACUUUGAAAAAAUUGAGUGUUUAAAGCAGGCUAACGCUUGAAUACAUUAGCAUGGAAUAAUGAAAUAGGACGUUCGAUCUUAUUUUGUUGGUUUCUAAGAUUUGACGUAAUGAUUAAUAGGGAUAGUUGGGGGCAUUAGAUUCAAUUGUCAGAGGUGAAAUUCUUGGAUUUAUUGAAGACUAACUACUGCGAAAGCAUUUGCCAAGGAUGUUUUCAUUAAUCAAGAACGAAGUUAGGGAUCGAAGACGAUCAGAUACCGUCGUAGUCUUAACCAUAAACUAUAGCCGACUAGGGAUCGGAUGAUGUUAUUUUUUAAUGUACUUCAUUCGGC